rnacentral:tRNA from 1 species
ACUGGUGUGGCUCAGUGGAUAGAGCGUCGGCCUGUGGACUGAAGGAUCCCAGGUUCAAUUCCGGGCAAGAGCG